rnacentral:rRNA from 1 species
AUUGAACGCUGGCGGCAGGCCUAACACAUGCAAGUCGAGCGGAGCGGGGGACGGGUGAGUAAGGCCUAGGAAUCUGCCUGUUAGUGGGGGAUAACGUCCGGAAACGGGCGAUAAUACCGCAUACUAGCAGAUCAGCCUAGUGGGGAUUAGCUAGUUGGUGGGGUAAAGGCCUACCAAGGCGACGAUCCGUAACUGGUCUGAGAGGAUGAUCCGUCACACUGGGACUGAGACACGGUCCAGACUCCUACGGGAGGCAGCAGUGGGGAAUAUUGGACAAUGGGCGAAAGCCUGAUCCAGCCAUGCCGCGUGUGUGAAGAAGGUCUUCGGGUUGUAAAGCACUUUUAGUUGGGAGGCGUUACCCACAGAAUAAGCACCGGCUAACUUCGUGCCAGCAGCCGCGGUAAUUC